GGGUGCGUGGUGUAAUGGUAACACCUCCGCUCUAGCUUGUUGUGCAGUACACUAUCCCAAUUAGUGUACUUGCGCAACAAGCCAGCGGAUGUUGUGGGUUCGAAUCCUGCCGCAACCA